CCCUGACAUACCAUAGCACUGCUUGUUGAUUUGCAGACAUAUAAUUGAAUGUGCUGUUAAAGAAUGGUGAAAGUAGGAAUGUGUUUGCUCUAAAUUUCCCUGUGAACUUCCUUGUCUGCACCAGCUGGCUUGGUUUGAUCCUUUCCCCAGACUCUGAUGCUUCUGUAAAGACAGAGCACAUGCACAUGCUCAUGUCCUCUGGCCCAGGUAAGGCUUAUCCACAGAGAAGGGAGCAUUGUGCCCCCAGUGCCCGGGAGGUGGUAUAUUCCACAAAGAGGUGAGUGGAGUGGGGGCCUUGUUGUCAUUGAAUCUCAUGUAGUGGAGGGCCUUGGGGAGGUGACACAGGAAAAUGUGCUACUCUGUAUUGUCUUGGGAAGGGUUGAAUUUGAUUCUGUUGUUUCUGAGGAUGUGAGAAUAAAUCUUGAUGGCUUUCCUCUUUCUGCCUCUAAGCAUCCUUGUGUGUAUUGCUGGUUUUACCUGAUCAUUUUCACCAUCUUCCCCAUGGUUUUAGUGGUCAUUUUUCAUUUCUUCUCUUGUAAAUAAUCAGUUCAUGUUUUCUAGCACCAAUUCUAAGCCUAGAUUAGUAAUAAGAAAAGUUCCCUCUUUUUAAAAGAAGAUGUCUACUUUCUCUGCCCUCCUUAUUGCCCAGAAAACAGGCAUUGUGGAGACGUGGCCUUGAUUGUCCUUCUUCUUGUCUCUUCCACCAAUGUGGCUGACCUUUUUCUCCUCACUCUCCAUUAAUUAGCAGCAGUUUCCCUGUUCCUUGGCUCACAGUGGUACACCUGGGAGCCUUAGCACUCACUGAAAACCCCUUACUGCCUAACAAGAAUUGACCCAUGGUUGAAAACCCAUCUCAAGUGCUGCUGCCUCUAUGAAGCCCACCCUGAAUUACGUUCAACUGGACAUACUUCCUUAUUUAAACCCUUUGGCACUGAUAUUCUAUCUUUAAUCAUUAUUAUUAUUUUAGAACAUGUCACCUUCCCAUGUUUUCCAAGUCAUAAAAGUAGUACAUGUCCAUCACAGACAAAUGGGGAGUGCAGAAAAGCACAAAGAAUAAAACAGAGACAGCAGGGUUCAGGCUUCGAGUUGUGGUGCAAUUGGCCCACAUCCACCCCACCCUCUCUUCACGCAGCAGAUGACUGGGACAUAAAGAAGCUGAUGGGGCCACUGCCACCGAAUUUCCACCUGCAGCCCUUCUCGGGGGCCACCACCAUGCUCCUCAACAGCUGUCACUGACAGGACAGAGCUUGAGGAUCUUGAGGAGCUACUGACCCUGCAGAACCGCUCUGAGACCAGGGGGAGCUUUUCCAGGUGAAACGAUUCAUGGCUAGGCU
rnacentral:lncRNA from 1 species